rnacentral:misc_RNA from 1 species
ACAAAAAAAAAAAAAAAAAAUGGUUGGACUUUUCAAAAUGUUAUAAACAACAAUCUGGUUAUCCGUCUCCUUUGGUUUCAGGUAUUCAAGAAGAUAAUUAAAGUACUUAUCAUUUUUGCUAAACAGCAGUCAGCAGCACUUGAAAUGCCACAAUAUAGUCUGUGCCCCCAUCAAUAUUGCAUAAUGGAGGCCAAGAUAUUGAUGGUCUUUGAAAAUUUGAUAGGUAUCAAUAUAUGGAUGCUAUUCAGUAUUCAGCAUGAUUAAUUUUCUUGUUUAAUUAUUCUCAAUUAGUUGUUGUUUUGCAUUAUGUGUCUAAUCAUAAAGCUAAAGAAAUUGGAAUGAAAAUGAAAGCUUUUCCUUAUGGGGAAAUAGAUGAUUUAAAGUAAGAAAUUAUAUUGCAAAGUAAAGCAUAUUGGUGAUGGGUUCUUUAAUUUUUGAUCUUCUGGUUUUAAGUUUGCAUUGGAAAAUUAUAGUUCAUAACAUUUAAGGUUUGAUUAUUGCAUUGAACUGAUAAUUUUUCAUAGUUGACUCGUUGGGUUUCAUUUAAUUUAUUGGAAAACAUGAUUAGGGGGCCAUUCAUUGUUGGGAGGUCUUGGCAACAACUUUUCUGGCUUGUUGGACUCAUCACAUCAGAUGACAUGCAGUUUUUUUAUGUCUCAGCAACAUAGGACUUUCAUCCAAAUGAGGACAGUUCUCAAAGUUGUGGACAAUUCAGGUGCAAAGAAGGUGAUGUGCAUACAAGCUCUGAAGGGGAAGAAAGGGGCAAGAUUAGGAGACACGAUAGUAGCUUCGGUAAAGGAAGCUAUGCCAAAUGGAAAAGUGAAGAAAGGAAAGGUUGUGUAUGGUGUAGUAGUGCGUGCUGCCAUGCAACGGGGACGUUGUGAUGGUAGUGAGGUUAAGUUUGAUGACAACGCUGUUGUACUGGUGGAUAAGCAAGGUCAGCCAAUUGGGACUAGAGUGUUUGGGCCAGUCCCGCAUGAGCUAAGGAAGAAAAAGCAUGUCAAGAUCCUUACUCUGGCAGAGCAUAUUGCCUGAGGUAUUGGAUAUAUUGUUCUGAAAAUUUGAAAUUUGUGGUCUUUCCUGUGCUAUGGACUUUCGAUUGUAUCGUUGAGGGGCAAACUUUGAGGAAAAGAAUCAAAAUGUUGUAGGCUAUGUUGAAUAGCUAAACAUAUUUCUUUUGAAAUCUGCAAAUCUAUUGCAUGCAUUACUGGUUUGAACUAGGAUCUAUGACCUCUUGCAUUAGCUUCUUUUCUUUUUCUUUCUCCUUCCGUUGUAGAAACUAUCUAUCAUACAGAUUAUAUUUAUAUAUAUUUUUUGUCUAUCA